rnacentral:rRNA from 1 species
AUGAACGCUGGCGGCGUGCUUAACCCAUGCAAGUCGCACGGGAUCCAAGGGGUGCUUGCACUUUUUGGUGAGAGUGGCGAACGGGUGAGUAACACGUGAGUAACCUGUCCUUUUCUUUGGGAUAAGCAUUCGAAAGGGUGUUUAAUACCUUAUGUUCUGUCUGCCUCGCAUGGGGUGGGUGGGAAAGGCUUUGGCCGGAUUUGGGUGGGCUCGCGGUCUAUCAGCUUGUUGGUGGGGUGAUGGCUUACCAAGGCUUUGACGGGUAGCCGGCCUGAGAGGGUGGUCGGUCACAUUGGGACUGAGAUACGGCCCAGACUCCUGCGGGAGGCAGCAGUGGGGGAUAUUGCACAAUGGGCGAAAGCCUGAUGCAGCGACGCCGCGUGGGGGAUGAAGGCCUUCGGGUUGUAAACUUCUUUUGCUCUGAACAAGGCAUGCCAGUGGGUGUGUUGAGUGUAGGGGUUGAUUAGCGCCGGCUAACUACGUG